rnacentral:lncRNA from 1 species
UCCCUUUCCUCCAGCAAUUUUCUCUCUUCUAGGGACUUACCAAUUUGGGCUUCUUCCAGAGCUGAAAACCGAUUACAAAUACAAAACAGAUUUCACUACUGGACUUGAAUGCCAUAUAAAAAACAAGAUCUUCAAAAUAAUUGAAAAAGGUCCUCACCAAAGAAUAGAUGGAAUGUGAAUGGCAAGAUAUCAAGGAGGUUUUGGUAUUAGGUCUGAUGUGUAUCAGACCCUGAAAUGCUCGUGGAGUGAAUGAAGAAUUUCUGUCGGUACAUAAUGGGAACUAUACAGAGACAGCAAUGCAAUGGGGCGUUUCAAAAUCGUGAUGCCAAGAGUGUCCUCUUCCUUCUUCACCAUACCCUGGACUCCAUUUGCCACCUCCCGCUCUUCGUAGACAUGAGGAAUCUGAGAAAACAUUCACUAUCUGGAAUGCAGAACAAACCCUUCAUAAAUAUUUGGUAA